rnacentral:rRNA from 1 species
CCUACGGGUGGCAGCAGUGAGGAAUAUUGGUCAAUGGGCGCGAGCCUGAACCAGCCAAGUAGCGUGAAGGAUGACUGCCCUACGGGUUGUAACCUUCUUUUAUAAAGGAAUAAAGUGAGGCACGUGUUCCUUUUUGUAUUUACUUUAUGUAUAAGGAUCGGCUAACUCCGUGCCAGCAGCCGCGGUAAUACGGUGGAUCCGAGCGUUAUCCGGAUUUAUUGGGUUUAAAGGGAGCGUAGGUGGAUUGUUAAGUCAGUUGUGAAAGUUUGCGGCUCAACCGUAAAAUUGCAGUUGAAACUGGCAGUCUUGAGUACAGUAGAGGUGGGCGGAAUUCGUGGUGUAGCGGUGAAAUGCUUAGAUAUCACGAAGAACACCGAUUGCGAAGGCAGCUCACUGGACUGCAACUGACACUGAGGCUCGAAAGUGUGGGUAGCAAACAGGAUUAGAUACCCCUGUAGUC